CUAGGUUUCUACUACUUUGCUAUUCUCAAUUCUGCCCACAUUUUACUGUCCUCUUCUCUUUUUAUUUGCUUUUUGUAUUUUAAUUCCACUAUUGUACCUCCCUUUUUUUCCUUAGUACUAUGUGUUGAUAUCUUUCAUCUAAAUACUCUCUACAGCAACUCGGAGAGAUGGAGGCUAUUUUUUUCCUCUAUAUGUCGAAAUUUUACAAGGUAUUCUUUUGUUUACUUCCCUUUUUCUUUAAUUAUAAUUCUCUACUUUACUCUUUUUAGUUCUAAUAUUGUUGCCUUUAAUUACUUAGGGGUUGUUUUGUUGGGUAACAAGUUAUUCAAGGAUUAAUUAUGUUUAGUUGGUCAACACGUUAUUCAAGGAUUAUCCCGGUAUUAGUUAUCCUACCCUCAAGUGUGAUAAAAAUUACACUUACAAUCCUGGAUUAACUAAUUAUUAAAUGAGUUAUCCAUACAUUUUAUCGUAGCCAGACAUGGAUAAGCUCAUCCUAAAGUUAAUUUUAGGAUUAGUUAUGGUAACACCCUAACUCAGGAUAAGGAGUUCCACGUCGGCAAACACAGGAGAGAUGCUGGAUAUAUAAGUAAACAGGUCUUUCACUCUAGUGAUCUGUUUUAAAGUCGUGCGGAUCUAAGCCUAUAGAGCGGACAUUAUCACUAGUGGGCUGGGCUGUUACAAUUAAGGAGUUCCACAUCGGCAAAACACGGGAGAAAUGCUGGGUAUAUAAGUAAACAAACCUUUCACACUAGUAACGCAUUUUAAAGUGGUACGCGUCUAAGCCAAGCAGCCCAUAACGAACAAUAUCACUAGUGGGCCGGCCCGUUACAGUUAUCCUUUAUUCCUUGUACCAAAUGAGCCUCGAAGGUGGGAUAAAAAUAAUACUACUAUUCGGGAUAAUUAAUCUUAGUAUGAGCUAUCCCAUGCAUUUCUCCAAACCGAACAUGGCAAAAGCUCAUCAUAAAGUUAAUUCCAACAUUAGUUAUCCCUUAUCCCUGGUAUCAAAUAAGCCCUUGUAGUUGUAUGUGUGUAGUUUUUAUUUCAUUCCCUCUAUUACCUAAGGAGAAGUAAUAGUUCAAUUUAUGUUGCCAUUUUAUUUGAUUUGCAGGAAUGGAUUACUCUUUGUUGUGGCAUUCGCUCCGACCUGAUUUUGUGAGUAAAUAUAAUAAUUGUUGAUUCUUCUUAAACAUUUUGUUUGUAUUCUUUUUCUUAAAUCUUUUGUUAUUUUAGUUUUCUUGGUUUUGAAGUGGUACUUAGUCCUCAGUGGUAGGUUGUUUGACCUAUAUUGCUCGGACUCUUCAAAAAUGUCAACUGGUGCUACAUCGAAAGUGAAGAGUUCUCGUAACAUAGUGUCAGAUAGUUCAUCUGAUCCAAUGAUAGCUAUAAUGUCCUGAAGUUCUUUGUAAUGUUGUAAAGUUUGCUUAACUCGUUGGGAGGUUUCAUAAUUUUCCUCACCAACGAUCCAAGGUUGAAGUGCUGGCGAGUUGCACCCUGCAAUCCGAGCUGAGGACGGGUUUUUGGGGUUAGCUAAUCUUCGCGGGAUCGCGACCCUUUGUCCCAGCCAUUGUAGCACGUAUGUCGCUGUAUUGGUGAUUAACUGAUUAAUAUCUUCCAGUUUCUUAUUUCAAGUGUACUCUUAGACUAAUUAGUCAAUGGGACAAUUUGUCUUCGGAUUUUUAGACCACUAUUCGAAAAUUUUUGAUGUGGAAAUUCAUAAUGGCUAAUACCGAGUGGCGAGAUGUAGUUUAGAAUCACCUUUGUACUCUUAAAUUUUUCGAAUUUGGGUGGAUAAUGAGUGAGAAUAAAAUCUAUAGGUGUGUUAAUGGAGGCAUGAGAUGCAUCUUACGUUGGAAUUCUGUGAAAUAUGAGAUGCAUAUAAUGAUGAGCUAGUGUGAUGAAAUAAAUCAUCUACAUUUGAUUUAGCGAGUAAUACCAUACCUACCAUUAGAAAGAAAGGGAACAAAAAAAAAAUAGUGAAUACACAACUUUUUUUGAUAAUCGUGGUGUUCGGGUCAGCUUACAUGCACCUCGACUAAUUCCCCGGAAUAUCUAGAAUCUCCUACCAACAACAAUAGUAAAUACACAGCUAAAGACAAGUAAACUCUAAUCCUUAGUAGCUAACUCUAAUCCUUUUUCUGUUCUUUUGCUUAAUUAGUGGUCAUGUUAGUCAAUACCUCUCAUAAUCUAUUGAUUUUUACCUUUCUUUUGAAAAAUAAAGUUGUACAAAAUGUCUAUUGAAGUAGUUACUGCACCUGUUAUUAAAGUAGGUGGUAAUCCAUAGUUGGAUAAGAGAGUGAAAUUAACAUUAGGUGUUUUUUCACAUAUAGCUAGUAGUGGUGUGUGCCCAACUGGUGAUGCCACUUAAUGCUAGUAGCAAUGAAUUGGCACUCAAUGAAUAAUCACAAUGGCAGGUCCAAAAAAAAGGCAUUUGAUAUUCAUUGUAAUUCAAAAGAUUCCUUACAACAGAGAGCAAAUAAAACACAAUAAUGCCAAAAAAAAAAAGGAAAAAAGCAAAGUUUCAGUCAUCGGAUUUUGUGCCAUUGCCAACCAUCACAGCACCCAAAUUCGCAGCCAACACCGCACACAACAAGCCUUGGUUGAACCUUGCAGAUUGGGUGGAGAUUGUCUCUCUUAGCAACUAUGCUAGUAAGUUCAAUACCGAGCCAGCGCAAACGACAGAAAGCAUACUGGGGCAGACGUAGCAUUAUGGCAUCAGCAGGCAAAGCUCGACAGCUGCAAAGAUCAAGUAUUUACAGUUGACUACUGUUGUGGUUUUGUCUAUCCAUCAACAUCUACACGCAGCAUCAGUAACCUCAUCACAGAACCCUAUAGAUAAAUCAGUUAAUGCUUUAGCAGCAGAUGUAAUGGUAAAAAUAGCUGCAUUAGUUAUUUUGGGAAUGUAACCAACAUCCAACACUGAUAACGUCUUGCAAAUUUUCCUAUCAGCAUGAAAUAAAAACUUAAUUCCCUUGUCAAUUACUCUCUCACAACUUCUGAUCCACGACUGCACAAUCGGUAAGUCUCCCGCACCAAGAAGAGCAAGGUCCGUUAUUGAAUUAAGGUUGUCCUCAUGCAGUCUUCUAACUAGUGAAACUUUGGAGCAUUUGUCCUUAUUUAGUAAGUUGGAUGUACUCGACACAAGUGGGUGCGAAUGCAUUGGAGACCAGGCUCCCUUCUACAUAUGAAAAGUUACUACCCUCACAAUACUAAACUCAAGACCCACAUGGGUGAUGAAAGUUUUUGCAAAGUUUAGUAUUGUGAGGGUAGUAACUUUUGAUAUGUAGAAGGGAGCCCGUUCUCCUAUGCGUUCACACCCACUUGUGUCGAGUACCUCCAACUUACUUAAUAAGGACAAAUGCUCCAAAGCUUCACUAGUUGGAAGACUGCAUGAGGACAAUCUUAAUUCAAUUACGGACCUUUCUCUUCUUGGUACGGGAGACUUACCGAUUGUGUAGUUGUGCAUCAGAGGCUAGGGGAGAGUAACUCACAAGGGAAUUAAGUCUUUAUAUCAUACUGGUAGGAAAAUUUGCAAGGCGUUAUCAAUGCUGGUUGCAUUCCCAAAAUAGCUGAUGCUGCUAUUUUUACCAUUACAUCUGCUGCUAAGGCAUUAUCUGAUUUAUCUAUAAGAUUUUGUGAUGAGGUCACUGAUGCUGUAGUACACAUGCUGAUGGAUGACCAAACCACAACAGUAGUGAACUGCAAAGACUUGUUCUUUGCAGCUGUCGAGGUCUGUCUACUGAUGCUACCUCUGCCCCAGCACUCUUUUCGUGGUAUGCUCUGGCUCUGUGUUGGACUUUCUCGCAUAAUCGAUAAGAGAGAUAAUCUCUACGCAAGGUGCUUCCCAGGCUUGUUGUUGCGGUGUUGGCUAUGAAUUUGGGUGCUGUGAUGGCUGGCAAUGGAACAAAAUCCGAUGACGGAAACUUAUCUUUUUUCCUUUUUUUAGACAUUAUCGUAUUUUAUUUGCUCUCUGUUGUAAUGAACCUUUUGAAUAUCAAAUGCCUUUUUUUUGGACCUGCCAUUGUAAUUACUUAUUAAGUAUCAAUUCAUUGCUACUAGUAUCUAGUGGCAUCACCACUUGGACACACACCACUACUAGCUAUAUGUGAAACACCUAAUGUUGUUAUUUUCACUCUCUUACCCUACUAUGGAUUACCACCAAUUUCAAUUACCAGGUGCAUUAGCUACUUAUCUGCCCCAACUCUUUUUCCUCCUCCUUAGGUUUCUGUUCACCACAUUCUCCAUCGGGCCCUUUUAUCUCUUCCUUCUCUGAGCUCAGGUUAUGGAAGAAGGAACCGAUUAUCCUCAAUCUCAAGCAAUUCCUUUCCCGAUCAAGCCAUCUGCUCCACAUGACAUAUUUAAGACCAUAAGAUUAAAUGAUAUUUUUGUACAUUUGACGUAACUUUAUUUUAAGACUACAAGAUUCAAAAGACUUCUUUAUUUUCUUAAAUUCCGUUUCAAGUUAUUUUUUUUUUGUAAAUAGGGGGAGUAGAAGAAUGAGUUAAGAUUUGGUAUCAACAUGUGUGCUUCAUUGUGAUUACAGUAAAAUAAAUAAUGGCAUUUUGAUAUUUUACAUUCUGUCUUUCAUCUCCAUCCCAACGAGCAACAACAAUUUACUUAGAUUAACUUGAGAAUUUGUGUUGCCGUUGUAGAAGCAUUACUAAUGACACGUUGUGCUCUUAAAUGCGAAAAGACAUUGCAAGCUUUAUUACACCGACACCUCAAUGGUAAGUCCGCAACACUUCCAAAGGUCGUUCUAAAUUAACUUUUAACGUUUGACUUAUGUCAAAAGUCAUUAGUUAGAAAAACAAAGUUCUUUUAUUUAUUUAUUUUUGUUUUUGGUCGUCCCAAAAUAAUGCUAUUUUACUAGAAUUAAAAAAAAGUUAAUUUUAGUUUUGUUUUACUCUUAAAAAAAUAAUUUUGAUAAUAAAUUUCAAAAGUAUUCUUUUAAACAGCAUGUCACAUUAAAGUAUGUGACGUGAAAUGAGACGUCGAUAACACUAAUUAGAAUCGAAUGCAAAGUGAGUCCUUACACUCUUCCUCUUCUAGGUUUCUACUACUUUGCUAUUCUCAAUUCUGCCCACAUUUUAUUGUCCUCUUCUCUUUUUAUUUACUUUUUGUAUUUUAAUUCCACUGUUGUACCUCCCUUUUUUCCCUUGGUACUAUGUGUAGAUAUCUUUCAUCUAAAUACUCUCUGCAGCCACUUGGAGAGAUGAAGGCUAUUUUUUCCUCUAUAUGUCUAAUUUUUACAAGGUAUUCUUUGGUUUACUUCUUUUUUUCUCUAAUUAUGAUUCUCUAUUUCUCUUUUUAGUUCUAAUAUUGUUGCCUUUAAUUACUUAGGGUUGGUUUUGUCUGUUAACAAGUUAUUCAAGGAUUAAUUUUGUUUAGUUGGUCAACAAGUUACUCAAGGAUUAAUUAUCCAGUAUUAGUUAUCCUACCCUCAAGUGAUAAAAAUAACACUUACAAUCCCGGAUUAACUAAUUAUUGUAUGAGUUAUCCAUGCAUUUUAUCGCAACCAGACAUGGAUAAGCUCAUCCUAAAGUUAAUUUUAGGAUUAGUUAUGGUAACACCCUAACUCAGGAUAAGGAGUUUCACAUCGGCAAUACACAAGAAAGAUGUUGGAUAUAUAAGUAAACAGGUCUUUCACUUUAGUGAUCUGUUUUAAAGUCGUGGGGAUCUAAGCCUAGAGCGGAAAAUAUCACUAUUGCGCUGGGCAGUUACAAAUAAGGAGUUCCACAUCGGCAAAACACGGGAGAAAUGCUUGGUAUAUAAGUAAACAAACCUUUCACACUAAUAACGCAUUUUAAAACGGUACGUGUCUAUGCCAAGAAGCCCAGAACGGACUACAUCACUAGUGGGCUGGGUUGUUACAGUUAUCCCUUAUUCCUUGUUCCAAACGAUCCCCGAAGGUGGGCUACAAUUCGGGAUAACUAAUCUCGGUAUGAGCUAUCCCAUGCAUUUAUCCCAACCAAACAUGGCAAAAUCUCGUCGUAAAAUUAAUUCCAACAUUAGUUAUCCCUUAUCUGUGGUAUCAAACGAGCCCUUUUAGUUGCAUGUGUGUAGUUUUUUUUCAUUCCCUCUAUUAACUCUUAAUUUCAUGAGAAGUAAUAGUUAAAUUUAUAUUACCAUUUUAUUUGAUUUGUAGGAAUGGAUUACUCUUUGUUGUGGCAACCGCUCCGACCUGAUUUUGUGAGUGAAUAUAAUAAUUGUUGAUUCUUCUUUAACAUUUUGUUCGUAUUCUUUUGCUUAAAUCUUUUGUUAUUUUAGUUUACUUGGUUUUGAAGUGGUAAUUUCUAAAUCAAUAAAGUGUUAAAGUACAUUCUUUAUGUUUUGCUGCCACUUUUUGUCACUUGCUAUGAAACUGCAUUUGAUGUACAGUAUUCAUUAUGGAUGUGUAGUGUGUCAUCCUCUGGAGAUCCACUUUGGAGUGGAGGACUUCAUAGAAAUAACUCUUUUCUUUUUAUGAGGGCCUUUCAUUUUUCAAUUCAAUAUAUAUUUUAGAAAAGAAGACAAAUUGAUAUAAACACCAAAUAGAGGACAAGAGGUGGGCUUACACAAUUGCUGGAUUAAGCCAUUGGUCUAGAAAUUGAAAUUUCAAUUUAGAGACUUUUAGAUACCCUAUAAUAUAUUUUGAUAUUUUUGAUAAUUCUUUAGUUCAAAGCAUCAUCCCGUUUGUACAUCUUCUUUAGGUAAUUUUUAAUUACUUUAGAAUGAAAUUUGGCCCUUUCUCCAAUUACACUAAGAAUGUCUUAAGAUAGAAGGGAACAUUUGAGCAAACUCAAAUCUUUGAUAUGUUCACCGAGAAUGUUGAUAAUGAAGGAAUCAUUCUUCAUUUGGAAGCACCCGAUAGUUAAACUCUUGACUCCUGGGACCCACGCACAGCAUGCUUUAGAGUCUCUUCAUCUAGAUAAUAUCCCUGUAAAUCAAAGAUACUAGUCUUAUAAGUUCAUCCCAGAAGUAAGAAUGGCAUUAGCAAAACUAAAGAUGGUCAAAUGGACAUUCAUUUAUGCCACAUUCUCCAUAUGCAUUCUAUUCAAUAAUUAGAAGAUUAAUCAGACCAUCUUACCAUGAAUGUUUGGACCAGCUUGAUGCCUACAUAGGCAUUAGCAAAGUGAAGCUUAGGAAAUGCCUCCAACGGUUUUAGCUAGUCUACUAGUAAACCAUACAUAAAUAGGUUAAUCCAAAUUAACCAGAAAUAAACUCGAAAAAGUUCUAGCUACCAAACCAAUCUUAAGACACUCUAUCAAUCAGUCAUUCAACUACGGCUCAAUCCUAAGUCAAGUCCUGGAUUUUCACUCCACUCUAUUCACACUCAUUUUCAUUUCAUAAUGAUCAAGUAUCAAGCAAAUCUAACAGAAGUUUUAGAUUAUCUAAGAACAACAUAUUUCAGUUUAUAUGAAUUCGAGAUAGUUGAAUUGGAAUUUUAAACAUACAACAACAACAUACCCAGCCCACCAAGUGGUGUCUAGGGAAGGUAAGUGUACGUAGUCCAUACCACUACCUCAAUGUGAGAUAGAGAGACUUUUUUCAAUAGACUCCCGUCUCAAAAUAAAACAAUCUAAAUGAUGAAUAGUAAAAGAACAAGAUACAAUAGAUUUCAACAUAUCCAAUAAUACCAUAAACAAGAUACGCCAAGUAAUACAAUAAAAGAUACAACAUCCUAAAUUCAUACUAACCUUCUACCCUAAUCUUCCUCCUCCUCAACUUCCGAUCCAGGGUUAUGUCCUCGGUAAGUUGGAGCUGCUCCAUGUCAUGUGUAAUCACCUCCCUCCAAUGGUGAGGGAGGUUAUGACGAUGUGCAUGAGGUUUUGUUUUCAGUGAUAGAAAUGGUGAGGGGGAUACUCUGUUGGAUUUUGCGAGGGCCUUUGGGCUGGUGGUAGUGAAUUUGAUCUUUUCAAAGAAGAAGGAUCAUCUGAUUACCUUCCAAGCACGUUAGCCAAGACUGAGAUUGAAUUUUUGUUGAUUAGGAAAGGGGAUAGGGUUUUAUGUAAAGGCUGUAAAGUUAUUCCAAGUGAGCACCUUUCGACCCAGUACAGGCUUUUGGUGGUGGACUUGAUUAUCAAGAAGAGAAGGAAGAGUAGGGCCAGUGAGGGUCGACCCAAAAUUAAGUGGGGUGGCUUGGCGCCAGUUAGUGCACGAGGGAUAGGGAAGAAGGUGGCGGGAUUGGGGGUGUGGGAGUGAAGGGGUGACGUGGAUAUGUGGGAUAAGGUUGCCAGCUGCAUCAUGGAGAUGGCUAGAGAGGUGUUGGGUAUUUUGAGGUGUCGGUAUAAGGGGGACUGGUGGUGGAAUGAAGAAGUUAAGAGGAAAGUAGAGAUUAAGAAGGGGGUAUAUGUUAAGUUGAUUGAGAGUAAAGAUAAAGAGGAGAAGCAGGUGAAUAAGGAGGUUUAUAAAGUAGCAACGAAAGAGGCUAAGUUAGCAGUUACGGCUGCUAAGACAACAAUGUUUGAGAACUUGUAAGCGGGGUUAGAGGAGAAAAAUGGGAAAUAAAAGGUUGUAUAGGCUGGCUAAGGCUAGGGAGAGGAAGGGUUGUGACCUCAAUCAAGUAAAGUGCAUUAAGGGGGAGGAUAGUAGAGUUUUGGUGGAGGAUGUUCGCAUUAAGAAAAUAUGGCAGGAGUAUUUUCAUAGACUUUUGAACGGGGGAGGGGGGGACAGAGUCAUCGAGUUAGGGGAGCUGGAGUGCUCGGAGGAGAGCCAUGAUUUCAGUUACUGCAGAUAUUUUAAGGUUAAGGAGGUCAGAGAGGCUAUUCGUAAAAUGUGGAGGGGUAGGGCGACGGGGCUUGACGAGAUUUUAGUGGAUUUUUGGAAGUAUACUGGUAAAGCAGGUUGAAGGUGGUUGAUUGAUUUGUUUAACGACAUUUUCAAGACUACAAGGAUGCCUAAGGCUUGGAGAUGGAGUACGAUGAUUCCGUUAUAUAAAAACAAGGGUGACAUUCAGAGCUGCAACAACUAUAGGGGUAUUAAGCUAUUAAAUUAUAUUAUAAAGAUUUGGGAGAGGGUGGUUGAGCAAAGAUUGAGGAGGGUCGUGUCCAUUUUGGAGAAUCAGUUUGGUUUUAUGCCUGGUCACUCGACGACAGAGGCAAUUCACCUGGUAAGGAGAUUGGUAGAGCAGUAUAGGUAAAGGAAGAGGGAUUUACAUAUGAUGUUCAUCGACCUGGAGAAGGCGUAUGACAAAGUCCCUAAGAAGGUUCUUUGGAGAUGCUUGGGGGUGAGAGAGGUUUUGGUAGCAUACAUCAGAGCUAUUAAGGACAUGUACGAUGGAGGAAAGACUCGGGUGAGGAUGGUGAGAGGAUACUUAAGGCAUUUUUCAAUCGAGAUAGGGUUGCAUCAGGGAUCAACUUUUAGCCCAUUUUUGUUUGCGUUGGUGAUGGACGUGUUGACGUGGAGUAUUCAAGGUGAGGUGCCUUGGUGUAUGUUAUUUGCGGAUGAUGUAGUGUUGAUUGAUGAGACGCGGGAGGGUGUGAAUGAAAGAUGGGAGGUUUGGAGACAAACCCUUCAAUCUAAGGGGUUCAGGUUGAGUAGGUCCAAGACAGAGUAUAUGGAAUGCACGUUUAGUGACUUGAGUUAGGAGGACGAAGUGGUAGUGAGGUUAGAUUCCCAGGAUGUUUGUAAGAGUGAUAGUUUUAAGUAUCUUGAAUCUAUGAUUCAGGAGAAUGACAAGAGUAAUGAAGAUGUCCGUAAACGUAUUGGAGCAGGUUGGAUGAAGUGGAGGCUCGCCUCGGGAGUAUUGUGUGAUAAGAAUGUGCCCCUUAAGCUUAAAGGCAAAUUAUACAGAGUGGCAUUCUGUCCGGCCAUGUUGUAUGGAGUGGAGUGUUGGCCAGUCAAGAAAUUUUAUAGUCAGAGAUUGAAGGUGGCGAAAAUGAGCAUGUUGUGUUGGAUGUGUGGACUUACUAUAGGGGAUUGAGUUAGGAAUGAGACUAUCAGGGAGAAGAUGAGAGUGACUUUGGUAGAGGAAAAGUUGCAAAAAGAAAGACUGAGAUGGUUUAGGCAUGUGAUGAGGAGGCUCACGGUUGCACUAGUUCGUAGGUGUGAGAGGCUAGCUUUGGAUGUCUUUAGAAGGAGUAGAAGUAGGCCGAAGAAAUACUGAAGGAAGGUGAUUAGACAUGACAUGGAGUAGCUACAGCUUACUAGGACAUGACCCUAGAUAGGAAGGUAGAUAGGAAGGUGUGGAGGUCGUGGAUAAGGGUAGAAGACUAGUGUGAGUGAGUGGGUUGUAGCAAGGUGUUAGGAGAGCUCUUGCGUAGCCGGGUUAGUAAUCCUAGGAUUGUGUCCUUUAGUAGGAGCCUCUAUUCAGGAGAGUUUGGGUGUGGUGGGUGUCUUUGGUCUGUGAGUGUAUGUUACUACUAGGUGGGUGUCCUAUCUCUUAUUUCUUAUUUUCAAUUGCUCGAAUUUCUCUUAUUUCCUAUUUAUCUGAUAUCUAUUUUAUUAUUUCUUAUUUCUUAUUUCUAUUAUGUCAUCCAUCCUUCAUCAUGUUUCACUACGACCUUGUGUACUAUUCUCUAUUCUGAGUGGGGUCUAUCGGAAACAACCUCUCUACUUCCUCGGAGAUAGCGGUAUGGACUACAUUUUACCCUCCCCAGACCUCACUUUGUGGGAAUACACUGGGUUUUUUGUUGUUGUUGUACCUCUACCUCGCUUGAAACUAUCUCUAGCCAACUGCUCACACCUCCACACUGGGGCAUCCGCGUCCCUCCUCAUCACAUGACCGAACCAUCCCAGCCUCGCUUCCCUCAUCGGGUGGAUCUUCCACCGAAGCCACUCCUACCUUAUCUCUAAUUUUACACAAAAAAAAUUACUAAUUUCAUAUGUAUUAUGCUCAAUAAGGCUAUGAGGGAUGUGGUGUCAAAUUUUAUUUUAUUUUUAUAAUCAUGGUGUCCUAGCCAACUUUCGGACACCUCGACUAAUUCCAUGAAAUGCUUGCCACCUCUCACUCAUUAGCAGACAGCUAGUAACUCUGUUCACCAAGGCCAGGACGUUGGAAAGAAAUCACCCAGUAUUUUUUGUCCAAUAUCACAUUCAAUAUAACUCAUUUUAUCUAUUACAGCAAUAAAAUUAGGGCAUUUAAUUAGAAAAAAAAGGGCUAAGUUAACUUACAGAAAAAUCGAAAGAUGAAACAGAAGGAAGAGGAUGUGUGAAGGCAGAAUUGAAGAUUGGAGAGACACAAGUGGCGGUGCAAAGAGAUAACAAAUCCAUUUUUUCCAACGCAUUAAUUAUUAUAUGCUCUGGAAAUCUAUCCAUUGAUGCCUCAAAAUUGCCUUCGGAGUUUCCACCUCCUCCUUUAUUGCCGCCGCUACCACCACCGACUUCUUCUCCAGUACGGUGUCGCUUGGAAUUUCUGUCCAUGAAUGGAAAUAGAAACAAAACCUAAUUCCUAUUUCCUGCAAUUCUCCAGCAAAAAAAGUACAAAAAUUAGUUUGUAAAUUACUAUUUGAAUGCAAUUCAUAAUUUGCAUUUGCGGAACACAUUUUCCAUGGUGAAUCUAUAUAACGAUAAUGUAUACAGUGUAAUUUGAUGAGUGGAGUUCUAAAUGACUAUUAUUAAUGAAAACUUAAUGAAUUUAUACUUGUUAGCGAUAGUAAACAAUUAAAACAGUCUAAAAGAAGUACCCGGAGUUUACUUUAUUAUGUGUUUCUGUUAACAGACAAACUUUAAAGGUUAUUACUUAUUUGGUUGUAUAAACGAUAAUAUAUCCAGUGUAAUUUCAUGGAUAUACAUCUCUUUAUAGAGUUGUAUAGAUUAUUGUGAAAAUAGUACUUUCUAUGGAAUAGAAUGUUGAACCUCAUGUAAAUAGAUUCAAGAUUGACUACUCCUUAGUAAAGCCACCUUGAUUUUAGUAAAGCCACCUUGAUUUUGGUCAUAGAUGUAUUUAGGCCUGUUAUUGUUUUGUAUAGAUAAUUAUGUACCUAGCCCAGUUGUAAUAGAAAUAUAUACUUUCUAGUAUAUGUAUGUAAAUAUCGUACACUGACCGGACAGUUAUCAUUUUUCAAGAAGAAGAAAUAUUUCUCUCCAUACCUUUACCUUUCUAAGAUCAGUGAAGCUUCUAAAGUAAUUCAAAAAUAGAGAUUUAUCUCCCUUACAUUCUCGUUGUUAAUAUGGUAUCAGAGCCUUUAGCUCAUCAUUCAUCUAUAUUUCGGAUCUGUGUGCUGAAUUUUCUCACAUUUCGGAGCUUUGAGCUGAUUUUUUUGGCAACAUUCUACACCUUUUAGGGUUCCAGUGUCCAUACGGUCGGAAUCCACUUCAGUUUCCGCCGCAAAUCUGUGUAAUUUGAGGUGGUUAUCAGCUUGAUUUGAAGUUUGGUUUUUGUCUUCGAAGUGCGGUCACAACGGCAUUUGUUUUUUAUUUUUCAUUUUGGCUUUUACAACGAGGUUUAGCUACUCUUUCAGCCGAGAAAAAAUCUGGUAUUGUUUCCUCAACCUUAUUAAACAUUUUCGUGUUGUGUCUUUGUUGUUUGGUACGCCUUGAUUUUGUGUAGUUAUGGCUCCGAAUGUUGCAAAUUCUACUACUUCUAGUGUAGAUGCUGAUGUGGUUUCUGUUGUUAACCCUUCAUCUCCAUUAUACCUCCUAUCAUCUGAUUCUUCUGGCACAAUUUUUGUUACCACGCCCUUUAAUGGGACGGGUUAUGGAAGUUGGCAUCGAGGAAUGUUGUUACGGUUAUCCUGUAAAAACAAACUAGGUAUGAUCAGUGGUUCCAUUCCUAAGCCUUUUGCUACUGAUCCACAUUUUCAAGCAUGUAUUAGGUGUAAUGAUAUGGUGGUAGCACGGAUUCUAAACAGUCUAGAUAAGGAAAUUAGGAAAAUUGUGAUGUACACUGAAUCUGUGGAGAUUUUAUGGAAGGAAGUUGAAUGUAGAUUUGGUCAGGCUAGUGGUACCAAAAUUUUCCAAAUCAGGAAAGAACUUUCUUCAAUUUUCCAAGGAUCCUCGAGUGUUGCUUCCUACUUCAAAAGAAUUAAGAAAUUCUGGGAUCAAUUGUCUUUCUCCAUUACCUAUCCUGAUUGUACUUAUGGGUGUAAGGAUGGUUUUCUCAAGUUAGAAGAGGAGCAGAGAGUUCAUUAGGCAUCAGAAGGAACAUCCUCAUGUUAAAACCCCUUCCUGACAUUGAUAAUGUGUAUUCAAUGUUGAUAACUGAUGAGUGUCAAUCUGAGGUGCACAAUAAUCUCCCUUCCUUCAAUUCCGACUCUGUUUCUUUCUGCACUGGUAACCAAAGACCAUAUAAUCAAAAGCCAAGUUCAGAAUCUGGUGGUUUAUCUACUACUAUUUCCAGAUCCUACAAUUCCAGGAUCACUUUUGACUAUUUCUUCCAAAAGAAACACUAUGAUUUGUAGAUAUUGCAUGAAACCUGGGCAUCAAAUUUAGAGAUGCUACAAGUUGCAUGGAUUUCCUUCUGCCACAUCUAUUGGACAACCUAAAUUCAAGAAAUCUGCAGCUUUUGCCCAGGUCUCAGAGUCCCAGCAAUUAAGCACCUCUGAUUCCCCUACUUGCAAUACUUCCCCAGCUAAUUCUAGCAUUUCCAAGGAACAAUUUGAGUAGCUCUUAAGUCUGUUUCAGCAGGCUAAAAUUACUAGUCCAUCUUCUCAAGAGAUCACUGUUGGUUCUGUUAACUUUGCACGUUUGCUUAAUAGUUCUGAUUCUAGACUUUGUAGUUUGCUUGCUUGUAACGUCUCUAAGGUAGACAAUAGUACAUGGAUCAUAGACUCGGGUGCCACUAAUCACAUGAUACCACAUUCUUCAUUUCCUUCCAAUAUCACACCUCUCACAAUUCCUUAUCUUGUGACUUUACCCACUGGGUACAAAGUUGAAGUCACAAGUACUGGUACUCUUACUCUUUCUCCUGAUAUCUCCUUAACCAAUGUGUUACUAGUUCCUUCAUUUCAGUGAACUCUGAUUUCUCUUGCUCAGCUAAUUCUCCAAUUACAUUGUUCAGCCUACUUUACUUCCACUGCAUGCAUUUUGUAGGGCCUUCUCUGAAGAGAGGCCAGUGGAUCUGUGUAGCCUUCAAGCUGGGCUUUACAUCCUCAAUCCUCUUUCACUUACAUCAACUACUUGUUCUUCUACUUCUUUACAUGAUUCAUUUGUAAAUACCAUUACUGCCACUCUAUUUAAUGACAUAAAUAAGAGCAAGUCUUCUACAUCUGACUCUACUGUUACUGUUUCUUCUUCUGUUCUUAAUGCGGCACUGACUACUUCUACUUUACCUACUUUGUCAAUAAAUAAGAUUUGGCAUUUGUGAUUAGGACAUAUGCUGUUUACCAAGAUGCUUAACUGUUCCAAUUUAUAACUGAACGAGUUUAUUGAAUUUUGAACAUAAGUCUAAUUAUCUUAUUCAUUAUUGACACACCUUAAGCUAAUUUCAUGUUAACAACGAGAAUAUAAGGGAGAUAAAUCUCCAUUUCUAAAUUACUCUAGAAGCUUCAGUGAGCUUAGAAAGGUAAAGGUAGAGAGAGAAAUAUUUCUUCUUCUAGAAAAUGGUAACUGUCCAGUCAAUGUACCAUACUAGGCCGGGUACAUAAUUAUCUGUACAAAACAAUAACAUCUAUGACCCAAAAUCAAGGUGGCUUUACUAAGGAGUAGUCAAUCUUGAAUCUAUUUACAUGAGGUUCAACAGCCCCCCUCAAGUUGGAAGGGCUUGCCAUUCCAAGCUUGGAAAUGAAGUGUUGAUAAGCAACACCAAGAAGGGACUUUGUAAAUAUAUCAGCAAGUUGAGCAUUGGUGGAGAUGGAAUGAAGCGAAAUGAGACCAUCAGUUAGAGCUUGCCCGAUGAAGUAGCAAUCCACUUCAAUAUGUUUGGUACGCUCGUGAAAAACAGGAUUCUUGGUAAUGUGGACAGCUGCAUGACUGUCACAGAACACAUGUACAGGAGUGAGAUCAUGAACACCCAAUUGAGCAAAUAAACGGACCAGCCAAGUAAUUUCACCAACUACGAGCCUUACGGCUUUGUAUUCUGCCUCAGCUGUUGAUAAAGCAAUAGUGGGCUACUUCUUGGACUUCCAAGAGAUAUGACAGUGUCCAAGGAAUAGAACAAAUCCUGAAACAGAUCAACAGGUAGCAGCACAGCUGGCCCAAUCAGAAUCAAAAUAGCCUUUGAGAGAAAAAUCGGAGGAGUUAUUGAGCAGAAGUCCCAAACGAGGAGUACCAGCCAAAUAUUCCAAAACACGAUGAGCAGCAGUGAGAUAAGUAGUUCGGGGAGAAGCCAUGAACUGGCUAAGAUGUUGAACUGUAAAAGACAAUUCUGUUGAACUGUAAAAGACAAUUCUGGUCUCGUGUGUUGAAGGAAAUUUAGCUUUCCACCAAACUUUAUGUACACAGAAGGAUCAGGUAACAAAUACCCAGAAUCAGAAGAUAGCUUCACGUGAGGGUCAAGUGGUGAAACAACAGAAUUAACAUUAGUAUAGUGAAAUUCGGACAAUAGAUCCAAUGCAAACUUAUGUUGGCUGACCAAGAACCUCGUCGAAGUAUGGAUAAUUUCCAGACCAAGGAAAUAAUGUAUAAGGCCAAGGUCCUUAAUUCUGAACUUAUCAUCCAGCAAAAGCUUGAGAGAAGAAAUUUCAGAUUCAUCAUCACCAGCCAAGAGAAUAUCAUCCACAUAAACAACCACAAUAGUAAGACUAGUGCCAACUAAUUUUCUGAACAAAGAGUAGUCAUUCAUGCUAGGGAUGAAACCCCUAGACUCUAAAGCAGAAGAUAGUUUGGCAUACUAUUGUCUCGAGGCUUGUCUAAGACCAUAGAGGGACUUAUUAAGGCGACAUACCAACAUAGUAAAUGAAGAAGNNNNNNNNNNNNNNNNNNNNNNNNNNNNNNNNNNNNNNNNNNNNNNNNNNNNNNNNNNNNNNNNNNNNNNNNNNNNNNNNNNNNNNNNNNNNNNNNNNNNNNNNAAACAUUUAAUGGUGGUCAUUUUGACCACUUUAGAAAAAGUUUCAGUAAAAUCUAUACCCUCUUGCUGGGCAUCCCCUCAAAUGACCAACCUAGCAUUGUAUCUUUCAAUAGUGCCAUUAGACCUCUGUUUGAUUUUAUAAACCCAUUUACGUGGAAUGGCCUUCUUACCAGCAGGUAAAGGGACAAUAUCCCAUGUAUGAGUGUCUUUCAAACCCUUAAAUUCUUUCAUCAUGGCUUCCUGCCAGGCAAGAUUGGAAACAACCUGAUGGUAGAAUUGAGGUUCUUGCAAGGAAGUCUCAAAAGAUAGAGAAAUAAUCCUAGAACUUGAAACAGAGAUGCACACAUAAUCAUUGAGGUAAGCUGGAGGAUGAGAUGAUCUAGAAGACUUUCUUUGGGCAGAGAUAGGAACAGAAGUUGGGAUAACAGUGGUAGAAAUAAGGACAACUGAAGGAGAAGAGGGAUUAUGAGGUAUAGGGAGAGAGAGAUCAGGAGGAAAAAGAUGAGGUGAAGUAGAAGAUUAAUAAAGGAAAACAUUUUCAUGGAAUAUGACAUCCCUGGAGUGAAAAAUGCUAUGAUUAGAUAGUCUGAAAAGUUCAUAACUUUUCCUGCCAUGACUAUACCCAAGAAAAACCGAGGGGUAUGGCAUGGAUUGAAACUUAUCUCUAUGUGGUUUAGGUACAGCAGCAAAACAUAGGCAACCAAAAGCUUUCAAAUGUGUAAAAGAAGGUGAAAUACCAUGAAGUAACUCAAAAGGGGAUUUGUAAUUCAAAAGUGUUGUGGGAAACCUAUUUAUCAUAUAAGUAAGAACACAUUCUCCUCAAUACUUGACUGGGAGUUUGGAUUGACAUAAAAGGGCUCUAGCAGUUUCAAGAAGACGCUUGUGUUUCCUCUUCACCACACCAUUUUGUUGUGGUGUGUGAGGACAAGAGGUUUGAUGCAAGGUUCAUGUGUUGAAAAAAAAUAGAAGCUGCUGAACUACACCCCCAAUUCAAGGGCAUUGUUAGAUCUGACCAUCUGAACAGUGGUGUUAAAUUGGGUUUUAACCAUAAAGAUGAAAGAUUGUAUGAGAGUGAAGGAAUUACCCUUCGUAUGUAAGAGAUGUGUACAAGUAGCUCUAGUAAAGUCAUCUACUAUUGUCAAGAAAUAUUUAAAACCAUUAUAAGUUUGAGUAUGAUAAGGACCCCAAAGAUCCAAGUGAAUUAAUUGAAAAGGAGAAGUGGAGUGAAUGGAACUCCUAGGGAGGGGGAGUCUUUGUUGCGUAGCCAUGGACAAAUAGGGCAUAAGAAGGAUUGUUUCUUAGGUAGGACAUCAAAUAAACAAGAAAGUUUAACAACAGAAAAAUCAGAGAAGAAAAUUCAACAUAUUAGAAGAUAAGAACAACAACCAAUAACAUACCUAAUGUAAUUUCACAUGUAGAGUCAAAGAAGGUAGGAUGUAUAAGGAUCUUACCUGUCUCUGUGGAUAGGGGCUGUUUCAAAUAACUCACAAGAAUUCUAUAUUUCAGUCUCCAAAAUAAUACCUCAUAUUUAUAGGUGUUAACCCAAAUGGUUAGUUAAAGGUUAGUUUGAUUUCAUUAAUGGAAGAUAAAAUAAUUUAUUAAAUAAUAAGUAAAUGUAACUAUAUUAGAGUAAGAAAGAUUUUUCAAAUCAAUAAUAAGCAUUCAUAUGUUACUCCAACGGCUAGUUAACGGCUAGUUAAUGGUUAGUUUGUUGUAAUAUUAGAGUUGGAAACUUGGAGUAACACAAGAAUACUCAUUGUUGAUUUUGAAAAAACUUUCUUUCUCUAAUCUUAUUUUAAACUAACCAUUAACUAGUCGUUGGAGUAACACAAAAAUACUCAUUAUUGAUUUGGAAACGCUUUCUCUUAUCUUAUAUUGACUAACCAUUAACUAGCUGUUGGAGUAAUACAAAAAUUAAUAAUUUGGAAAAGCAUUCUUUCUCUAAUUUUAUAUUUACUAACCGUUAACUAGCCGUUGGAGUAACACAGGAAUACUCAUUAAUAUUGUGAGAGAACUUUCUCUUAUCUUACAUCAAACUAGUUGUUGGAGUAAUACAAAAAUUAAUAAUUUGGAAAAGCAUUCUUUCUCUAAUAUUAUAUUUACUAACCGUUAACUAGCCGUUGGAGUAACACAGGAAUGCUCAUUAAUAUUGUGAGAGAACUUUCUCUAAUCUUACAUCAAACUAACCGUUAACAAGCCGUUGGUAAUAUAUGAAUGCUUAUUAUUGAUUUGGAUAAUCUUUCGUACUCUAAUAUUGUUAUUUUUACUUACUAUUUGAUAAAAUUGACAUUAAUGAAAUCAAACUAGCCGUUAACUAACCGUUUGGGUUAACACCUAUAAAUAGAAGGCAUUAUUUUGGAGAUUGAAAUAUAGAAUUCUUCAGAGUUAUUUGAGACAACCUUUACGAACAAAGACAGGUAAGAUCUGUAUACAUCCUACCUUCUCAAACUCUACUUGUGAAAUUACAUUAGGUUUAUUAUUGGUUGUUCUUAUCUUCUAAUAUGCUGAAUUUUCUUUCUUGAUUUGUUUUUGUCCCAAUUUAUAACUGAACAUGUUUAGUGAAUCUUGAGCACAAGUCUAAUUAUCUUAUUCAUUAUUGAGACACCUUAAGUGUAACGCCCCGCAUUUUGGGCUAGAAUAAAAACCAUGAUUUUGAUGCGUUGUUAAUCCCGAAGUCAUAAAAUCCUAUGCCAAUACGGCAUGUUAAUUAUUGUAUAGCAUUUGAAUCCUCUAAAUCUUGAAUUUAGACCAUAGAGGUCCUUCAACUCAAGGACGAGUUAAAACAAUUUCGGUCGACUAAGUUUUAGUGGACGUUGUAAAGUGUGCCAGCUUCCAUCGACCAUAAUUCUCUAUAUAUGUCGAAUUAGGAAGCCUACUAUGUGUCAAAUGAUAAGUAUUCGAGUUAGCUUUCCAACGAUACCAAUUUGGAUAAAAUUCAACACCCGAGCAAGAACUUAUGACCUUUCAAAGUGAUAAGCGACGCCUAACCAAUCGCCCAUGGCCACUGGAAAGCAUAGGCGAUAGCCUAGGCGGCGCCUACGUGAAGAUAGGCGAUGGGAUGGGCGGGAUUUAGCCCUAAAACACGAGACUUAGUUCCAAGGACCCCAAAAUACAUAUUCUUUCAUCAAAAGUGCUCAAGAUUUUCCUUAGGGUUUCAAAAUAAAAUAAAAAAACCCAAAUAGUUCAAGAUUUGACCGUAGGUUUUCAAAGAUAAUUACAUAUUUGGAAUCACCAAUCCGCAAGCUUCAAGAAACAUAUAUUAUCUUUGGAAAUAGAGGAACGUGGGGUUAUCCAAAAAUCUCAUGGGUGUAAUCUUUAUGAACAUGCAUGCUUUUAAAUGGGGGUUUUCAAUGAAAUGCUAAUAUGUUGCUUUCAAUAUGAUUUCUAAGUCAUUUAAUUUAUGUCAUGGGAAUUGUUUGCCUAUAUACUUCAAUGGUUGAAACCAUGCAUAUGUGAUUUGAGAUUUUCCAUGGAAGUUUGAUAAAUAUGAAUGAUAAAUUGUUUUUUUCAAAUUCCCAUGAUAAUGUUUUGAUACUUCAUAUCAUAUUGAGAUCAACAAAAGAGAGCAUGAAUUUGAAAUAAAUAUUGUUCACUACUUGUAAAUGAUGAAGCACCUUGGCUUUUACAUGAUUAUGCAUAUGUGGAUGUGAUAUUGAUGACUUGCAAGUCGGGUAUAAUGAUACCCUACAAAAUGUGAUAUGCGAUUGAAUAAGAUGAAAUUUGAAUGCAUUGAUUUUAUAUGAGAAAGGUGGACGCCCGAAGAAGGCGUUUGAGACACAAGCGGCUCAUCGCUGGAAGAACGUGUUUGCCGACACGGAAUAUCGGUACCAUGCUUUAUGGUCUUGUGUACCUGAUAUUAUAUUAUCCCAAAUUAGGAUUAUGGUUAGUAUCCAUGCUUUGUGGUCUUGUACACUACCAUAUUUGAUUUGGGUCGAGACACCAUGCUUUGUGGUCUUGUGCGUCUCUCCCUCACUUAUACUCUAAUCUCGGCGGCAACCGAGGUUUGACAGUUGGUGUAAAUUAUGUAGGGUAUUCCACCUAGCUCAGUUGAAUUUCAUUAUUGUUGAGAAAAAAACUAUUGCAUUACACCCAUGUGUUUUCAAAUGAUUUGAUACGAAAUUGCUUUAUAAUGGCUCUUAACUAUAUUUUGUAAAAAUAUUAUAUUUUGCUUUGAUAUCUCUGCGUGCCAGUACUUUUGUGCUGACCCCCUCCCCUCUCCAACCUCUCAGGUUUAGAGGUCCAGUCUAGGGGUCAAGAGAAUCAGUAGAACUUUCAGACAGAGCUGUAAAGACAAGUGAUGAGCCUUUUAUGUUUUGGAAGGUCUUAUGUCCUGCAGUACUUUUACCUUUUAUUCAAUUUUUGGGUUUGCUGGGGCCUUGUCCCAGUUUUCAGAUAGACAUUGUUUCAGUCAUAUAGUAGAGAUUUCGCAGACGAUUUUAGAAAUGUUGAUUUAGAUUGUGGGACACUAUUCCCCAUUGUCGUUUUCAUAUGAUUCUUGACCAUGUUUCCGUUAUAUUAUGUUUCUUUCGUAUUACUUUGACCAUAUGAAUUAUGUGCAUGAUUAUCAGAAAGAUAGAGGUGUUUCGGGCCUCCAUGGUUUGAAAUGCUCGUCACGGCCAGGCCCUGGUUCGGGUCAUGACAAACUUGGUAUCAAAGCACGGUUCAUGGUCCCAGGGUGCCUGCAAAAUCGCGUCAGGUAGAGUCUUGUUUAUGGGUGUGUAGUGCGCCACACUUAUAAGAAGGAGGCUACUUGGCGUUUAGGAAAUUUUUUCCUUCUUUUUGAUUUAGUUCAUGCUUUAGAGUCUGAACUGUACCCUAAUCAAUGAUCACUUGUGUUUUAGAAACACAGUUAUGCCUCCAUGUCGUAUCGUCGAUCAGAAUGCUCAGGCAGAUGAGGUCCGUCCCACCCAGGGGAUGCAGACCCAUAACAGGGCUCACACUCCAUAAUUUGUCCCUUCUCCAGGAGUCCCUCUAGUUCUGACCAGUCCACCUCAGGCUCUGCGGACUAAUGCCAACCAUCCCCCAAUUGCUCAGGGAGAUAUUUCAAAUGCAAAAUUUAGACGGUCUAUUCAUAUGCUGACACAGUUAGUAGCUAACCAGGAUCAACAAUCGGAAUAUGUUGGGUCUGCAUCUGUUACAUCUGAGGCUACUAGAGUCGGAUAUUUCAUGAAGAUGAACCCACCUAAGUUCAUUGGCACCAAGGUGGAGGAAGAUCCACAGGAGUUCAUGGAUGAUAUGGAAAAGAUCUUUAAGGUGAUGUAUGUGGAUGAGGUUAAAGGGGUGGAGCUAGCAACCUAUCAGCUCAAGGACGUUGUGAAUCAUUGGUAUGCCGACUGGGAAGAUGAAAAGGGUGAAAGUGUUGAGCCUAAGUUUGGGGCGAAUUUGUGGAAGCUUUCCUUGAUUGAUUCUUUCCACUGGAGUUGAGGGAGGCCAAAGCGGAAGAGUUUAUGAAUCUGAAGAAAGGCAGUAUGAGUGUCCAGGAGUAAACUUUGAAGUUUAAUAAACUAGCCCGCUAUGCACCAGAGUUGACUAGUAAUAUGAGGGCCCGAAUGAGAAAAUUUGCAUUCGGCCUUACUGAUGACCUAGUACUUGAGUGCCAGGGGGCUAUGUCGAAUAAGGAGUUAGACUUUGCUCGACUGACCGUUCAUAUGCAUCAAGUGGAAGAGAAGAAGAAAAAGAUUGCUGAUAUAAAGAGAAAGAUAGACAGGAUAAAAGAGCUAGAUCUGUGGAUCAGCACCAGAGUCAGCCGCAGAGUGGUAACUGGGAUAAUAAGUGGUCGAACAAGAAGAAGUUUUGGAAUAAUGUACAGUCAGCAGCCAGCUCCCCAGCACCCAGACCACCGACAGACAGACAAACUCAGAGUUUUCAGACUCCUCAUGGGUCCAAAGCUCUAGGUACACAGUCUCAAGGUAGCUUGGCCCAGCAGCGGCGUACUCGUCUACAGUGUGAGGUUUGUGGAAGGAAUCAUCUAAGGAAGUGCUGGUUUGAGGGGAGAAACUGCUAUACUUGUGGCAAAGUGGGUCACCUUCAGAGAGAUUGUCCAUCUUCUUGAAUAAAUGUGAGGGGGGCUAAGUCCCAAGCCACCUCUACAGCUCUUUUUUCUAAGGAUGCCCCUUCAGCUGCCGGAAGCGUUCGCAACCGGUUAUAUUCUUUGACUAACCGCCAGGAGGCGGAAGCUUCACUAGAUGUUUUCACCGGUAUGUUAUGAAUCUUUUCUCUUGAUGUUUAUGUAUUGCUUGAACCCGGGUCUACUUUAUCCUAUGUGACCCCUUAUGUGGCUAUUGGUUUUGGGUUUGAACCCGAAGUUAUUAUAGAACCCUUCUCUUUUUCUACUCCUAUAGGUAAUUUUGUUGUUGUUAGAAGGGUAUAUAGAAAUUGUGUCGUGUCUGGUCAUAGUAGAAAAACUGUGGCAGACCUUAUAGAACAGGAUAUGAUAGAUUUUGAUGCCAUCCUUGGGAUGGACUGGCUCCAUUCUUGUUAUGCCACCCUUGAUUGCAGAACCCGAAAGGUCAUUUUUUCUUUCCUGAAUGAGACCAGUUAUAUGGGCAGGGAGUUCUGUGGAACAUAGAGGUCACUUUAUCUCUUAUCCUAUAGCCCGAAAGCUUAUCUCCAAAGGGUUUAUGUAUCAUCUAAUCCGAGUGAAAGAUUCAAAAGUUGGAAACCUUUCUCUACAGUCAGUCCCUGUAGUGAAUGAAUUCCUAGAAGUCUUUCCCGAAGAUAUAUCCUCUCACAGGGAGAUAGAUUUUGGCAUUGAUGCGUUGCCAGACACUCGUCCUAUUUCUAUUCCGCCAUACAGAAUGGCUCCCGCGGAACUAAAGGAGUUAAAGGAACAGCUUGCAGACCUCCUAGACAAAGGCUUUAUUCUUCCUAGUGUUACCGGUGCUCUUCGGUGUAAAUAAGGUUGGGACCCUUCGGAUGUGCAUAGACUACCGUCAGUUGAAUAAGGUCACAAUUAAAAAUAAAUAUCCUCUUCCUAGUAUUGACGAACUUUUUGACCAGCUUCAGGGUGCCAAGUACUUUUCAAAAAUAGACCUUCAUUCGGGUUAUCAUCAGUUGAAAGUUAGGGAGUCAUACAUACUCAAGACAGCCUUCCGAACCUGAUAUGGUCACUACGAAUUUCUAGUCAUGUCCUUCGGGUUAACUAACGCCCCUGCAGCCUUCAUGGAUCUUAUGAAUGGAUUGUUCCAUCAGUUUCUUGACUUGUUCGUCAUUGUAUUUAUUGAUGAUAUUCUGAUCUAUUCUAAGAAUAAAGAGGAUCACGCCAAUCACCUCCGAAUUAUCCUCCAGACCCUUAAGGAUCAUCAGUUGUAUGCCAAAUUUUCUAAGUGUGAAUUCUGGUUAGACGCUAUUGCCUUCGUAGGGCAUAUUCUGUCUAGUGACGGGAUAAGAGUGGAUCCCUAAAAAGUUGAAGCAGUGAUAAAAUGGCCUAAACCCAUGACUCCAACUGAUAUUCGGAGCUUCUUGGGUUUGGCGGGGUAUUACAGAAGGUUCGUAGAGAAUUUUUCUUCCAUAGCUGCUCCGCUUACUAAACUAACUCAGGAAAAGAUGAAGUUUGUAAGGUUUGACUUGUGUGAAAACAGUUUUGAGAAAUUGAAGGACAAGCUGACUACUGCUACUAUUUUGACCCUUCCGAGGGUGUAGAUGAUUUUAUGAUUUAUUGUGAUGCGUCCCGUGUGGGACUUGGUUGUGUAUUAAUGCAGCGUGGUAAGGUGAUAGCUUAUGCAUCUAGGCAGUUGAAGGUGCAUGAGCGCAAUCACCCCACUCAUGACUUGGAGUUAGCAGCUGUGGUGUUUGCACUUUGAAUUUGGAAGCACUAUCUCUAUGGAGUGCAUGUUGAUAUUUAUACUGACCAUAAGAGUUUACAGUAUGUUUUCUNNNNNNNNNNNNNNNNNNNNNNNNNNNNNNNNNNNNNNNNNNNNNNNNNNNNNNNNNNNNNNNNNNNNNNNNNNNNNNNNNNNNNNNNNNNNNNNNNNNNNNNNNNNNNNNNNNNNNNNNNNNNNNNNNNNNNNNNNNNNNNNNNNNNNNNNNNNNNNNNNNNNNNNNNNNNNNNNNNNNNNNNNNNNNNNNNNNNNNNNNNNNNNNNNNNNNNNNNNNNNNNNNNNNNNNNNNNNNNNNNNNNNNNNNNNNNNNNNNNNNNNNNNNNNNNNNNNNNNNNNNNNNNNNNNNNNNNNNNNNNNNNNNNNNNNNNNNNNNNNNNNNNNNNNNNNNNNNNNNNNNNNNNNNNNNNNNNNNNNNNNNNNNNNNNNNNNNNNNNNNNNNNNNNNNNNNNNNNNNNNNNNNNNNNNNNNNNNNNNNNNNNNNNNNNNNNNNNNNNNNNNNNNNNNNNNNNNNNNNNNNNNNNNNNNCACACUUCGAGGUAUAUCAUUCACCCAGGCUCUACUAAGAUGUACCAUGAUCUGAAAACCUUGUAUUGGUGGAAUAACAUGAAACGUGAUGUAGCUGAUUUUGUGUCCAAGUGUUUGAACUGUCAACAAGUGAAGGUAGAACACAUGAGGCCGAGUGGUACUUCCCAAGAGAUAGCCCUGACUUUAUGGAAGCGGGAGAUGAUAAACAUGGACUUUAUUACAGGACUUCUGAGAUCCCAAAACCAGUAUGAUUCUAUAUGGGUUAUUGUAGAUCGGUUGACCAAGUCAGCCCACUUUUUCGUGUGAGGACUAAUUAUUCGGGAGAGGUUUAUGCUAAGAUUUACAUUGAGGAGAUAGUUUGAUUGCAUGGGGCACCAGUGUCCAUUAUAUCCGAUAGAGGUACGUAUUUUUCAUAUUAGUUUUGGAGAUUCUUUCAGAAGGGUUUAGGUACACAAGUGAAUUUGAGCACAGCUUUCCACCCUCAGAUGGAUGGGCAAGCUGAGCAUACCAUUCAAGCCCUCAAAGAUAUGUUGAGGGCAUGUGUCAUUGAUUUCAAAGGUAGUUGGGUAGAUCACCUGCCACUGGUUGAAUUCACUUACAAUAAUAGCUACCAUGCCAGCAUCAAGAUGGCUCCUUUUGAGGCUUUGUAUGGGAGGAGAUGUAGGUCUCUGAUAGUAUGGUAUGAAGUAAGUGAGACUCAGUUGUAUGGGCCUGAGCGAUGGAAAAAGUAAAAAUCAUUAGAGAAUGACUCAAGACUGCUCAGAAUCAUUAGAAUUCCUAUGCCGAUGUUUGGAGAAGAGAACUAGAGUUUGAAAUUGGUGAUUGGGCAUUUCUCAAGGUUUCUCCUAUGGAAGGAGUUAUGUGGUUUGGAAAAAAAGGGUAAAUUGAGCCUUUGUUAUGUAGGGCCAUAUCAGAUUUUGAAGAAGAUUGGUACAGUUGUAUAUGAGUUAGAAUUGCCUACAAGUUUGGGUUUCGUUCAUCCGGUAUUCCAUGUAUCCAUGUUGAAGAAAUGCAUUAGAGAUCAUUCUAUGGUAUUUCCAGUAGAGGGUAUAAAAGUGACAGACUCCUUGUCUUACGAAGAAGAGCCCGUUGAAAUUUUAGAUCGCCAAGUUCGAAAUCUGAGGAGCAAAGAAAUAGCCUCAAUAAAGAUACUGUGGAGGAAUCAGAAGGUCGAAGAAGCAACUUGGGAGACAGAAGAUGAUAUGAGAAUUAGAUAUCCCAAUUUGUUUGCUUCGAUGGAGGAGGAGACAAAAGGUACUAUUCCUAUCUUAUCUUUUCUAGUCCAUUAUUAUGAUUGAAAUCGUGUCUGUCUGUGUCCCGCAUCAUCAUUCAGGGACAAAUGAUCCUAAGUGGGGGAUAAUGUAACGCCCCGCAUUUUGGGCUAGAAUAAAAACCAUGAUUUCGAUGCGUUGCUAAUCCCGAAGCAAUAAAAUCCCAUGCCAAUAUGGCAUGUUAAUUAUUGUGUAGCAUGUGAAUCCGCUCAAUCUUGAAUUUAGACCAUAGAGGUCCUUCAACUCAAGGACGAGUUGAAACUAUUUCGGUCGACUAAGUUUUAGUGGACGUUGUAAAGUGUGCCAGUUUCCAUCGACCAUAAUUCUCUGCAUAUGUCGAAUUAGGAAGCCUACUAUGUGUCAAAUGAUAAGUAUUCAAGUUAGCUUUCCAACUAUACCAAUUUGGCUAAAAUCCAACACCCGAGCAAGAAGUUAUGACCUUUUAAAGUGAUAAGCGAUGCCUAACCAAUCGCCCAUGGCCACUGGAAAGCAUAGGCGAUAGCCUAGGUGGCGCCUAUGUAAACAUAGGCGAUAGCCUAGGCGGAGCCUAAGUGAAGAUAGGCGAUGGGAUGGGCGGCGCCUAUGUAAGGAAUUUUGAAAAUUUAAACACUCCGUGUUGAGGCAAAGUGGUCCUUUUCCACCCUUACUUAGCCCUAAAACACGAGAUUUAGUUCCAAGGACCCCAAAAUACAUAUUCUUUCAUCAAAAGUGCUCAAGAUUUUCCUUAGAGUUUCAAAAUUAAAAAAAAAAAAACAAAUAGUUCAAGAUUUGAUCGUAGCUUUUCAAAGAUAAUAACAUAUUUGGAAUCACCAAUCCGCAAGCUUGAAGAAACAUCUAUUAUCUUUGGAAAGAGAGGUACGUGGGGUUUAUCCAAAAAUCUCAUGGGUAUAGUCUUCAUGAACAUGCAUGCUUUUAAAUGGGGGUUUUCAAUCAAAUGCUAAUAUGUUGUUUUCAAUAUGAUUUCUAAGUCAUUUACUUUAUGUCAUGAGAAUUGUUUGCCUAUAUACUUCAAUGGUUGAAACCAUGCAUAUGUGAUUUGAGAUUUUCCAUGGAAGUUUGAUAAAUAUGAAUGAUAAAUUAUUUUUUUCAAAUUCCCAUGAUAAGGUUUCGAUACUCCAUAUCAUAUUGUGAUCAACAGAAGAGAGCAUAAAUUUGAAAUAAAUAUUGUUCACUACUUGUAAAUGAUGAAGCACCUUGGCUUUUACAUGAUUAUGCAUAUAUGGAUGUGAUAUUGAUGACUUGCAAGUUAGGUAUGACGAUACCCUACAGAAUGCGAUUGCGAUUGAAUAAGAUGAAAUUUGAAUGCAUUGAUUUUACAAGAGAAAGGUGGAUGCCCGAAGAAGGCAUUUGAGACACAAGCGACUCAUCGCUGGAAGAACGUGUUUGCCGACACGGAAUAUUGGUACCAUGCUUUGUGGUCUUGCGUACCUGAUAUUAUAAUGGCUCUCAACUAUAUUUUAUAAAAAUAUUAUGUUUUGCUUUGAUAUCUCUGUGUGCCAGUACUUUUGUGCUGAACCCCUCACCUCUCCAACCUCUCAGAUUCAGAGGCCUAGUCUAGGGGUCAAGAGAAUCAGUAGAACUUUCAGACAGAGCUAUAGAGACAAGUGGUGAGCCUUCUAUGUUUCGGAAGAUCUUAUGUCUUGCAGUCCUUUUACCUUAUAUUUAGUUUUUGGGUCUGCUGGGAGCCUUGUCCCAGUUUUCAGAUAGACAUUGUUUCAGUCAUGUAGUAGAGAUUUCGCAGACGGUUUUAGAGAUGUUGAUUUAGAUUGUGGGACACUAUUCCCCAUUGUCGUUUUCAUAUGAUUCUUGACCAUGUUUCUGUUAUCUUGUGUUUCUUCCACAUUACUUUGAUCAUAUGAAUUAUGUGCAUGAUUAUCAGACAGAUAGGGGUGUUUCGGGCCUCCAUGGUUUGAAAUGCUCGUCACGGCCAGGCCCUGGUUCGGGUCGUGACAUUAAGCUAAUUGUGAUCCAUAGGCAGUACUAUUUUCAUAAAAAUCUAUACUACUCUAUAAAGAGAUGUAUGUCCAUGAAACUACACUGAAUGUAUUAUUGCUUUUACUACAAAUAAGUAAUAACCUUUUGAAGUUUGUUCGUUAAUAGAAACACAUUAUACAGUGAACUCUGGGUACUUCUUUUAAACUGUUUUAAUUGCUUACUAUCUAUAACAAGUAUAAAUUCAUUAAGUGUUCAUUAAUAAUAGACAUUUUGAACUCCACUCAUGAAAUUACACUAUAUAGAUUAUUGUUAUAUAGAUUAGCCAUGGAAAACGUGCUCAGCAAAUGUAAAUUAUGAAUUGCAUUCAAAGAGUAAUUUAUAAACUAAUUUUUUGUACUUUUUUGCUAGAGAAAUUGCAGGUAAUUGAGGAAUUAAGUUUUGUUUUCUAUUUCCAUCCAUGGACGAAACUGCCAAGCGACACUGUACCAGAGAAGUUGGUGGCGGCAACGGCGGCGAGAAAGGAGGAGGAGGAAGCUCCGAUGGCGAUUUUGAGCCGUCAAUGGGUAGAUUUACGGAUCAUAUAAUAAUUAAUGUGUUGGAAAAAAUGGAUUUGGCAUCUCUUUGCACCGCUGCCUGUGUCUCUCCAACCUUCAAUUCUGCCAUUGCAUAUCGUCUUACUUUUGUUUAGUCCUUCCGAUCUUUCUGUAAGUUGAUUUUGCUUUUUUUUUCCUAAUUAAAUGCCCUAAUUUUAUUGUGUAUGAUUUACUAGUAGACUAGCUAAACCUACUGAAGGCAUUUUCUGGGCAUCACUUUGCUAAUGCGUAUGUGGGCUUUAGCAAGUGUACUGGUUCAAACAUUCGUCAUAAGAUAGUGUGAUGAAUCCUCUUAUUAUUGAAUAGAGUAAAAUGCAUGUGGAGAAUGUAGCGUAAACGACUUUCCAUUUGACCAUCUUUAGUUUUGCUAAAUGCGAUUCUUACUUCUGGGAUGAACUUUUAAUACUAGUAUCUUUGAUUUACGGGGAUUUUAUCUAAAUUAAGAGACUCUAAAACAUGUCGUGUGUAGAGUCCCAGGAGCCAAGAGUUUAACUAUGGAGUGCCUCCAGAUGAGGAAUGAUUCCUCCAUUACAUAUCGAAGAUUUGGGUUUUCUCAAAUGUUCCCAUCUGUCUUACGACAUUCUUCGUGCAAUUGGAGAAAGGUGCCUGAACUUAAGGUAUUCUCCUAUGUCAACAUAUCGGUAAACUGUUAUGAAAUGCUUCAUUGAUUAUGGUUUCACAUCUUUGAUGGUAAGAACUUUACAAGUGGUUGUAAUCAAUUUAACAGGGCUUAGAAGGCGUUCAUUGCCUCCAUUGAUGGAUUUUCAGACUGUUAUUAUCCUGAAAUUCUCUGCAUAAAUGUAUUUUAUUUAGAUCCACUCGCUGAAGCUCAUUUGUAAUUUUUAAGCAGAUUUUUUAAUUUAAAUAACUCGUUUGGGGAACCAAUUCAUUUAAAUUUGAUUUUUUUCUUUGCUGACCCUCGAUGAUAGCUGAUUUCUUAGGCUGUUCGGGUAUAGAAAACCUCAAACUGCAUUAGCUUUUGCACCUGGCAUGCAUUAAUUUCACUCUAUAUCUCCACCUCCGGAAGAUGGAACAGUCGAGAUAUAAUUAAGUCCAUUGUGGUUACACCAACAAUAUCUUGCUUUCAUACUCUUGUGUGACUUCCUGGAUUUGUUUCCAACGUGUGCUUUCUUAUUUCCCCUGCUUAUAGAAUUUGCUGCGUGUGAAGCACCAGAACUUUUCAAAGAGAAACUUGCAGAAAUGCUCCAAAAGGUGCCCUUGUUAGAGGUAAAGUAUUUUCAUCUUUCACUUAUUUGUCCUCUCUUUCUUCUUCUAAUUGUCCAUGAUGCCUCUUCAAGCUAAUUACUCUUUAGAACAAGAGUUCUCCUUUGAUGGUCAAUUUCAUGAGUACUUUUCUUUCCUCCAGUUGCUGUCCAUAAAAAUCCGAGGUACCUCACGUGAUGUAUUUGAUGUACGACCGACCUCUUGGACAAUUUCUGCCCAAGAGUUUAAAAAAAUUGAAGUUACAGCAAACGGAUGUACCCCUCUUUGUCUCCUGGUUAGAUGCAGUCAGGAAGAUCCCUUGUUUCAACUUGCGAAGCUUGUCUCUUGUCGUGGAUGUUAUAUCAGAUGAUCUUCUCAUCACAGUUAUGCAUUCUCUUCCUCGUUUAGAGNNNNNNNNNNNNNNNNNNNNNNNNNNNNNNNNNNNNNNNNNNNNNNNNNNNNNNNNNNNNNNNNNNNNNNNNNNNNNNNNNNNNNNNNNNNNNNNNNNNNNNNNNNNNNNNNNNNNNNNNNNNNNNNNNNNNNNNNNNNNNNNNNNNNNNNNNNNNNNNNNNNNNNNNNNNNNNNNNNNNNNNNNNNNNNNNNNNNNNNNNNNNNNNNNNNNNNNNNNNNNNNNNNNNNNNNNNNNNNNNNNNNNNNNNNNNNNNNNNNNNNNNNNNNNNNNNNNNNNNNNNNNNNNNNNNNNNNNNNNNNNNNNNNNNNNNNNNNNNNNNAUCAUGCAGUCUUCUAACUAUGCUCUUCUCAAUUCUGCCCAAAUUUUAUUGUCUUCUCUUCUCUUUAUAUUUGUUUUUUGUAUUUUAAUUCCAUGUUGUACCUCUCUUGUUUCUUAAUAUGUGUUAAUAUCUUUCAUGUAAAUCUCUCUAGAGCCACUUGGAGAGAUGGAAACUAUUGUUUUCCUCUAUAUGUACAAUUUUUACAAGGUAUUCUUUUGUUUACUUCUAUUUUUCGUUAAAUUCUCUGUUUUACUCUUUCUAGUUCUAAUAGUGUUGCUUUCUCUUGUAUCUUAUUCUUUUACUAUUCCUUAUCUUAGAUUGUUUUAUUUUGAGCCGAGGGUCUAUCGAAAACAACCUUUCUAUCUCACAUUUGAGGUAGUGGUAUGGACUGCAUGCACUUACCCUCCCCAGACCUUGCUUGGUGGGAAUAUACUUGGUAUGUUGUUGUCGUAAAUCUAAUAGUGUUGCCAUUAAUUUACUUAGGGGUUGUUUAGUUGGGAAAAUAGUUAUCCCGAGGAUUAAUUAUUCCGGGAUUAGUUAUCUCAUGAUUAGUUGUCCUACCCUCAAGGGGUGAUAAAAAUAACACUACAAGAGAUAACUAAGUACUGUAUGAGUUGUUCCAUGCAUUUUAUCGCAACCAAACAUGGAUUAGCUCAUCCUGAAGUUAAUUUUAGGAUUAGUUAUCCCUCGUACCAAAUGAGUCUUGAAAGUUGGAUAAAAAUAAUACUAUAAUUUGGAAUAAUUAAUCUCGGUAUGAGCUAUCCCAUGCAUUUAUCCCAACCAAACAUGGCAAAAGACCAUCGUAAAAUUAAUUCCAGCAUUAGUUAUCCCUUAUUCCUAGUAUCAAAUGAGCCCUUGUAGUUGCAUGUGCAUAGUUUUUCUUUCAUUCCUUCUAUUAACUAAGGAGAAGUAAUAGUUAAAUUUAUGUUACCAUUUUAUUUGAUUUGCAGAAAUGGAUUACUCUUGCUUGUGGCAUCUGCUCUAACCUACCUGAUUUUGNNNNNNNNNNNNNNNNNNNNNNNNNNNNNNNNNNNNNNNNNNNNNNNNNNNNNNNNNNNNNNNNNNNNNNNNNNNNNNNNNNNNNNNNNNNNNNNNNNNNNNNNNNNNNNNNNNNNAACUUAGUGUUCGACUGUAUUGGUGAUUAACUAAUUAAUAUCUUCCUGUUUCUUAUUUCAAAUGAACUCUCAGGCUAAUUUGUCAAUGGGCCGUCUUUGGAUUUUUAUACCACUUUGAUGUGGAAUUCAUAAUGGCUAAUACCGAGAGGCGAGAUGUAGUUUAGAAUCACCUUUGUACUCUUAAGUUUUUUGAAUUUGUGUCGAUAAUGAAAGUGAAUAAAAUCGAUAGGUGUGUUGACGGAGGUAUGAGAUGCAUCUUACAUUGAAAUUCUGUGAAACCAGGGGACUGGCUAUGAUACAAUGAUGAGCUAGUGUGAUGAAAUAAAUCAUCCACAUUUGAUUUAGCGAUUAAUACCAUACCUACCAUUAGAAAGAAAGGGAACAAAUAAAAAUAGUGAAUACACAACUUCUUUUUCUUGAUAGCCAUGGUGUUCGGGUCAGCUUACGUGCACCUCGACUACUUCCACGGGAUAUCUAGCACCUCCCACUAGCAACAAUAGUGAAUACAUAGCUAAAGACAAGUAAACCAUUUAGGCGCAUGUGUAUCAUUAAUAGCUAACUCUAAUCCUUUUUCUUUUCUUUUGCUGAAUUAGUGGUCAUGUUAGUCUAUACCUCUCAUAAUCUACUGAUUUUUACCAUUCUUUUGAAAAACAAAGUUCUACAAAAUGGCUAUUGAAGUAGUUACUGCACCUGCUGUUGAAGUAGGUGGUAAUCCAUAGUUGGAUAAGUGAGUGAAAAUAACAACACUAGGUGUUUGUGUUUCACAUAUAGCUAGUAGGGGUGUGUGUCCAACUGGUGAUGCCACUUAAUGAUUGUUGCAAUGAAUUGGUACUUAAUGAGUAAUUACAAUGGAAGGUCCAAAAAAAAAUGCAUUUGAUAUUCAAAAGGUUCAUUACAACCGAGAGCAAAUAAAGCACAAUAAUGCCUAAAAAAGGGAAAAAAGCUAAGUUUCAGUCAGCAGAUUUUGUGCCACAAUCAAGUAUUUACAGUUGACUACUAUUGUGGUUUGGUCUAUCCAUUAGCAUCUGCACUGCAGCAUCAGUGACCUCAUCACAGAACCCUAUAGAUAAAUCAGUUAAUGCCUUAGCAGCAGAUGUAAUGGUAAAAAUAGCUGCAUUAGUUAUUUUGGGAAUGUAACCAACAUUCAACACUGAUAACGUCUUGCAAAUUUUCCUAUCAGCAUGAAAUAAAGACUUAAUUCCCUUGUCAAUUACUCUUUCACAGCUUCUGAUCCACAACUGCACAAUCAGUAAGUCUCCCGCACCAAGAAGAGCAAGGUCCGUUAUUAAAUUAAGGUUGUCCUCAUGCAGUCUUCUAACUAGUGAAACUUUGUAGCAUUUGUCAGUAUUUAGUAAGUUGGAGGUACCCGACACAAGUGGGUGCGAACGCAUUGGAGACCAGACUCUCUUCUACAUAUCAAAUGUUACUACCCUCACAAUACUAAACUCAAGACCCACAUGGGUGAUGCAAGCUUUUGCAAAGUUUAGUAUUGUGAGGGUAGUAAUUUUUGAUAUGUAGAAAGGAGCCUGUUCUCCAAUGCGUUCGCACCCACUUGUGUUGAGUACCUCCAACUUACUAAAUGAGGACAAAUGCUCCAAAGCUUCACUAGUUAGAAGACGGCAUGAGGACAACCUUAAUUCAAUUACGAACCUUGCUCUUCUUGGUACGGGAGACUUAUCGAUUGUGCAGUUGUGCAUCAGAGGCUGCAGAAAGUAACUGACAGGGGAAUUAAGUCUUUAUUCAUACUGGUAGGAAAAUUUGCAAGACGUUAUCAAUGUUGGAUGUUGGUUACAUUCCCAAAAUAACUGAUGCAACUAUUUUUACCAUUAUAUCUGCUGCUAAGGCAAAUUCUGAUUUAUCUUUACGAUUCUGUGACACUGAUGCUGCAAUACAGAUACUGAUGGAUAGACCAAACCACAACAGUAGUCAGCUACAAAGACUUGUUCUUUGCAACUGUCGAGGUCUGUCUGCUGAUGCCAUGAUGCUACCUUUGCCCCAUCACGCUUUUCGUGGUUUGCUCUGGCUCUGUGUUGGACUUUAUCGCAUAGUCGAUAAGAGAGACAAUCUCUAUGCAAUCAGCAAGGCGCUACCUAGGCUUGUUGUGUGCGGUGUUGGCUCUCUGUUGUAAUGAACCUUUUGAAUAUCAAAUGCCUUUUUUUUUACCUGCCAUUGUAAUUACUCAUUAAGUAUCAAUUUAUUGCUACUAGCAUCAAGUGGCAUCACCAGGUGAACACACACCACUACUAGCUAUAUGUGAAACACAAAACACCUAAUGUUGUUAUUUUCACUCUCUUACCCUACUUUGGAUUACCACCAAUUUCAAUUAGCAGGGGCAUUAGCUACUUAUCUGCCCCAACUCCUUUUCUUUCUCUUUAGGCUUUUGUUCGCCACAUUCUCCAUCGGGCCCUCUUAUCUCUUCCUUCUCUGAGCUCUAGUUAUGGAAGAAGGAACCGAUCAUCCUCAAGCUCAAGCAAUUCCUUUCCCGAUCAAUCCAUCUGCUCCACAUGACAUAUUUAAGACCAUAAGAUUAAAUGAUAUUUUUGUACAUUUGACAUAACUUUUUUUUAAGACUACAAGAUUCAACAGGCCUCUUUAUUUUCUUAGAUUCCGUGUCAAGUUAAUUUUUUUGUAAAUAGGGGGAGUAGAAGAAUGAGUUAAGAUUUGGUAUCAACAUGUGUGCUUCAUUGUAAUUAAAAUAAAACAAAUAAUGGCAUUUUGAUAUUUUGCAUUCUGUCUUUCAUCACCAUCGCAAUGAGCAACAACAAUUUACUUAGAUUAACUUGAGAAUUUGUGUUGCCGUUGUAGAAGCAUUACUAAUGACACGUUGUGCUCUUAAAUGCGAAAAGACACUGCAAGUUUUAUUACGCCGACACCAAAAUGGUAAGUCCGCAACACUUCCAAAGGUCAUUUUGAAUCAACUUUUAACGUUUGACUUAUGUCAAAAGUCAUUAGUUAGAAAAACAAACUUCUUUUAUUUAUUUUUCUUUGUUUUUUGUCGUCCCAAAAUAAUGCUAUUUUACUAUAAUUAAAAAAGUUAAUUUUAAUUUUGUUUUACUCUUAAUAAAAUAAUUUUGAUAAUAAAUUUCAAAAGUAUUCUUUUAAACACCACGUCACAUUAAAGUAUGUGACGUACUACAUUGCUAUCUCAAUUCUGCCCACAUUUUAUUGUCCUCUUCUCUUUUUAUUUGCUUUUUGUAUUUUAAAUCCACUAUUGUACCUCCCUUUUUUUCCUUAGUACUAUGUGUUGAUAUCUUUCAUCUAAAUACUCUCUACAGCCACUCGGAGAGAUGGAGGCUAUUUUUUUCCUCUAUAUGUCGAAUUGUUACAAGGUAUUCUUUUGUUUACUU
rnacentral:lncRNA from 1 species